CCCCCCUUAGUGGGAGAGUUACCACUGGAUGCCAUAAGAACUCUGAAGUUAAGCGUGCUCGGGUUGGAAGUAGUCCCCGGAUGGGUGACCUCCCUAGGAAGUCCCCGGGUAUCGAUGCA
rnacentral:rRNA from 1 species